rnacentral:rRNA from 1 species
CCUACGGGAGGCAGCAGUGAGGAAUAUUGGUCAAUGGGCGGGAGCCUGAACCAGCCAAGCCGCGUGAGGGCAGAAGGUACAGCGUAUCGUAAACCUCUUUUGUCAGGGAACAAAGGCGGGGACUAGUCCCCGGAUGAGGGUACCUGAAGAAAAAGCAUCGGCUAACUCCGUGCCAGCAGCCGCGGUAAUACGGAGGAUGCGAGCGUUAUCCGGAUUUACUGGGUGUAAAGGGCGCGUAGGCGGGAUAGCAAGUCAGUCGUGAAAUGCCGAGGCUUAACCUCGGAGCUGCGAGUGAAACUGUUAUUCUUGAGUAUCGGAGAGGAAAGCGGAAUGCCUAGUGUAGCGGUGAAAUGCGUAGAUAUUAGGAGGAACACCAGUGGCGAAGGCGGCUUUCUGGACGACAACUGACGCUGAGGCGCGAAAGUGUGGGGAGCAAACAGGAUUAGAUACCCUUGUAGUC